rnacentral:lncRNA from 10 species
AGAUCUGGUGUCUCCAGUUUACAGAAGCACUUGCAGAACUCAUCAGAAGCCACCCCGCUUAUCAGCAGAUCUCAAGAGAGCGUUCGGUGGAGGCCCUGGGUCUGCACAGCUCACCUCCCUGGGAACUGCUCGCCCGAGCGUCGGAGCCGGCGCUGGCCCCCUGCAGCCGGAAGGUUGCAGCCGCAGGAGCCCCGGAGGCCCAGGACACAGGGUGAAUAUGCAGGUUUUGAUGAGACGCAGCCAACAGCUGAAUCUGGUGGAAAAGGAAAAGUGAUUAAACUUUUAAAGGAAAAAUUUCAUUUUAAGAAAAUAAUCAUGAUUGGAGAUGGUGCCACAGAUAUGGAAGCCUGUCCUCCUGCUGAUGCUUUCAUUGGAUUUGGAGGAAAUGUGAUCAGGCAACAAGUCAAGGAUAACGCCAAAUGGUAUAUCACUGAUUUUGUAGAGCUGCUGGGAGAACUGGAAGAAUAACAUCCAUUGUCGUACAGCUCCAAACAACUUCAGAUGAAUUUUUACAAGUUAUACAGAUUGAUACUGUUUGCUUACAGUUGCCUAUUACAACUUGCUAUAGAAAGUUGGUACAAAUGAUCUGUACUUUAAACUACAGUUAGGAAUCCUAGAAGAUUGCUUUUUUUUUUUUUUUAACUGUAGUUCCAGUAUUAUAUGAUGACUAUUGAUUUCCUGGAGAGGUUUUU